UCAUCUGUAAAGAGGGAAUUUAAAAAGAGUUUGCUGAUACUCACCUCCUAAGGUUGUUAUUGAGAUUAAAUAUAUGUAGAGUGCUAAAAAUAUGACUGGCACGAAAUUAACAUCAUGUGAGUACCAGCCACCAUCAUUGAUAUCGAUUUUCCCAACAAUAUGAUAAUUACCAUUCUUUUUGAAAAAUUAAGAAAAUAAAGUCGCUGAAAUGCUGAGUGUCUUGUUUAAGCUCAUGCAGGUGGGAUUCUAAGUCUCAUGAAACCAAAUGCCGUGCUCUCCUUGUUCACGAUAUCUUUAUUUGGUUUUUGCAAGAUCCAUUGUAAGCAAACCUAAUUUCUGCAGAGUAGAUUUGAAAGCAUCAGGAGAAUAUAUGCUGGUGUUACAUAGUGGUAAAGCCUCUAGGAGACAGAUCUGGUGUUCUUCCCAGCCUCCUCCUGCCUGGAGAGGUGCAUGCUGCUGAUGUGGCUCCGUGCCACUGGGAAAUAGAGCAGAACUUACUCCUUUGGGAUCUAGUGUUCAUUAUGGAAGUGGGUAUCGCCAGAUAAAAUAGAUUAAUUUUAUUUGGACAAAUCUUUGAACAUUUGUGGAAAAUAUUUGGAGCUUUUUAGUGUAAAAAUGGUGCCAAUUCCCAAAUCUUCAAAUUGACUUUCAGGCAUUAUGAUACAAUUUGAAGUUUCUUUUUAUGUAAGUGAUUUUGUAAAUGUGUUUGUACAGAACUGUGACAGUUGGAGACUUGCAUAUUCCUUUCUCUUUCAUGGUUUGGCUAGGCCUCUUUUCUGUGGAUUAGGAACAGGUGAAGGAAGCAUUGUAUCAAAAGCAGUCUAGUUUUACUCUUCUCUCAUUUGCUUAGACACAACUGAUCUAGAUUUCUAACAAUGUCACCUUAUUUUAGGGGAAAGGAUUUGGAGUUAACACCGAUUUUAUUCCCCUACCCUUUUUUUUUGCCCCAGCAAUCUAGAAACUAUUCUAAAAGAUGAGAAAUAUGUAUUAGUAGAAACAAGUCUUUAAUAGGUUACAGUCCACAAGAUGUAGUGAGGAGUUAUGGGGAUGCUACCUGCUCAUGAAUUUUUUCCUCCCCAGCCUACAGGAACACCCAUUCCCCUACCUGACUUGACUACCCUCUAUAGAGUCAUUAAUGGGUCAGGACAGUAAGGGCGGAGAGACUAAACAGGAGACCAAAAAGCUAUGGUUUAGCAAGAACUGAGCAAGAAAAGACAGACACGGGAUGCUUGUUUUUGCAAGCACACUUCAUUCCCUCUUGUAGUUAUACUCUGAUUUCCUUAUGGGCAAUAGCGUCCCCUUAUCCAGUUUCUCUUUUUGUGGUUUCAGUUGCCCGCAAUCAAUGGUGGUAUGAAAAUAUUAAAUACACAAUUUAAGAAAUAAACAAUUUAUAAGCUUUAGAUUGCACACAUUUCUGAGUGGCUUGAUGAAAUCUCAGCCAUCCUGCUGGGCAUGUGAAUCAUCCCUUUGUCCAGUGGAUCCACACAGACGCUCUGGCCUGCCAGUCAUGGGCAUCUCUGCUCCUGACUUCUGAGCAUCGGGUGCAUAACCCGAGAUCACCGGAGGCAGGUGAUCCUCCUGCCGAAUCCUCAGAAGGUCAACAUUAGCCCCAGACUCCCUCACGAUGCCUGCGCCACACACCUGACUCCAUCUCAUCACAUAGGUGUUGUGUCAUCUCACAUGGCAAGAAGGUGAGCACAGACGAAAGGUCCCCGACUCACGAGGAUUCAGCCUAAUGAUUUUUUGAUUUUGUGAUGGCGAGAAAGUGAUCCACAUUCAGUAGAAACUCUUCUAGGGGCCGCCUCAGUCCUGGGCUUGCAUCCCCCUUCCUGCAAUCCUGUGGAUCGGAUCUCUUUUUGCACUAUCACUUUACUACCUUUGACUCUGAUACUCCUGCCUCCCUGCCAUGAGGACCCUUGCCAUGCACUGGGCCCGCCUGGAUAGUCCAGGAUCUCUCCCCAGCUCAAAGCCUUCACUUAAUCACAUGUGCAGAGUCCCUUUCAGGUAAGAUAGCAUAUCAUGUGUUCUGGGGAUUAGGGUGUGGACAUUGUGGGGGGCCGUCAAUAGGUGGACCAGAGGAACCUCAUUUCCCCCACUCUCAGUCCGCAUUCUUCAGCUUAGAUCACACGUCCAGCACAGGGGAGAGUAGAAGGUCUAAGUCUAAGCCAAUAGGUACCUCGCAUUGGUCCAGAGAUGGGAAUGUGACCCAGUCAGAGCCAAUGACACAAACUAAAACUUCACCCCUCAUUAAACGGAUCUCAGUUUUUUUCUGGUUUCAUAAGUCCCUUUCAGGUUAGUUCAGUCUCUUUCUCACUUUCAAUUCCAAGUUGAAGUCAUUAUCAACACUGUGCUCGGCGCAAAGAUUUGGAUUCACUGGUGUUUUUGGGCCCCCAAGUCUUGGCGACUUUCAGCAUCCCAAACGGCUCCUGGGUCUCCCCCCACCCCACUGCCGUGUCCCCCCAACCUCAGAGCCGGUACCCCGCAAUCUGGAUACUGCCGGUCGCCGUGGGGACCGUGAUGCCUCCGUGUCGCAGAGCCGGGAGGCAGGCGCGCCCCUGGCUGUGGUGCGACCCGACUCCGCACGCCUCCUCGUCCUUCCUCUCAGGCUGCGCGUGUCCAGCGCCCUUGGCGAAGAGCCUCCACAAAACCUCCACGGGAAGCUUUGGCCAAGGGUUUUAACCCUUUGGCUCCUCCCCGGCCCAGGUAUCUUCCUGAACUUACCUGCCCAACCUUGGGCAGUCUUCGGACACCUUGGCCUACACAUGACCCAGCGGCGUCAGGCAACGUCGCGCCACCCAGCCCCAUCCGCGCCUGUCCUCUCGUCCCCCCGCUGGUGGCUCAGCCCUGGAGUCACCCCAUCCCUUCCCCACGUCACGUGCCACAGUCCCAAACUCCUCUUGUCCCAAACUCCUGUUGGCUCUACUUCCAAAAGACGCCGGAAUCCAGCCCCCUCCUCUGCUGCCACCCUGAUCCGACCCCUCUGUCUCCCUCAUCCCCUCAAGUCCUGUAGCAGGUGUCUCAGGCCCAGCCCUGUCCCCUCCCGUCCCCUCUUGCAAUGCGAGUCAGAAUGCUCCCGUUAGACUAUUGCAUCGCGGUAAAAGCCCACGGGACUCCAGCGUCCCCCGCUCGGCCCCACGACCGCCCCAGUCCCAUUUCCGUCUGUCCUCCACGCGCUGCGGAAUCAUCCUGGCCAUCUCGCUGUCCUUCGGUUAUUCACGGGGCGCUCGGCACACCCUCGUCCCAGAGCCUCCCCCUUGCUGUCCCCUGCCCGCCCGCAGGUCCCUUCGUACCGGCCCUGUCUGUCUCGUGGUGUGCCCCUCCGCCCGGGCGAAGGGCCCUCGGAGCAGCGGUGUCCUGUUGUGUCCAGGCAGGGUCCCCGUGCGUAGGACAGCCUGGCAUGCAGCGGGCUCGCAGGUGACUGCAAAACGCGCCUUCACUAUGGAUGGGGCUUCAGGGAAAAGCCUGGGAGCGCCGCCUGAGUGGCACCUGGGCCUCCCGCGCCCCUGAUCCUGCGUGCGCACAGCACCCCAGCCAGCGCGGCCACCAGCCCUGCCUGCGCGCUGGCCUGGAGGGAGACGGCGGGGCGUCGCGCGCUGGGCGCCCCUCGCGGCCCUGAGUGUCGCGUGUCGCCUCGCUGUCCUGCGCCGACCACCGCCGCCCCGCGUCUCGGGCCGCCCUCUCCGAGAGCCCUCCAGCGGCAUUUCCUUCCGUUGUAAACCAGCCGGUCAAGGGGACUCGGACACCAGAAUCUAAUCAGCCAAAUUAGUUUAUUGAUGCCUGCGCAGGGGCUUCGCCACUCCAUGCGAGGAGGGAGCAGCAGCCCCAGCAAGGCCUUCGCGGUUUUCUAUACCUCAGGGCCGGCAGCUAUGCCAGCCAGCAAUCACAGAAGCAGGACUUUGCGGUAGUCGUUAACCAAGCCAACAACGAACGGUACAUCAGGGACAAGGGACUCUUCCUGGAACAGGACCUGUCUAUUCUUUUUGGGAACAGGCCUCCUCAACGCCCUCUUCCCUCUCCUGGGAACUUCCUCUGGGAACCUUUACUAAUGGUUGGAGCAAGACUGACUCCAUUUUAGAUGUACGGGCGCCAUCUUUAGUCCGUCUACUUCAGUCCCCACUGGUCUUACUAGCUAAUCAAAUCCUUGAUUCUACGGGGGAUCUGGGUCAGGUGAAGUUUGGUAUUGGGUGCUUAAGACCAACAGUUUGAACGCUUGCACAGUUUUGCACAAAUGCCCUGAUAUGGUUAAUUAUGAAGGGGCCACAAGUAAGCCCUAGGAGAAGAUUAAGGGACCUGGGAGGGCAGAUACUAGGGUUGUCAACCAGGGUGACCAAUUGAAGAGAGUUUUAUACCAA